rnacentral:lncRNA from 1 species
GGUUUCUCUGGUGGAAUUUAGCUAUUCUAAAUUCAAGAGAAGUUGACAUUAAAUAUCAACUUACUCUUCGCAACUUAUACAUACAUUUGUAAAGCAACUAAGCAAGCCUGAAUGGUUGAUAACUACAGUGUAUCGGAGUCCAGAUGCUAUUCUGGAAUUCAAGAGAAGUUGACAUUGAAAUAUCAACUUACUCUUCACAACUUAUACAUACAUUUGUAAGGCAACUGAGCAAGCCUGAAUGGUUUAUAACUACAGUGUAUC